rfam:Ciona savignyi cont_28973, whole genome shotgun sequence.
GCUUAUCACCAUUCCAUAUUGAAUAUACCCGAUCUCGUCUGAUCUCGGAAGUCAAGCAAUCUCGGGCUUGGUUAGUGUGAUAAACG